rnacentral:misc_RNA from 1 species
GAUCUUUUGUUUAAGGUAAGUUCAACGAGUCAUAGUUAUUAAUGAAUGAAGAAGAACAUUUCUGAGGUAAUGGAAUUCCUUAGUAUGGCUUUCUCAUCCAGUUAGGUUGUGAGGUGCGUGCAUUGUUAUUAAACUUGGACCAAACCAAACCAGUCACUGGGACUGGUGAACAGUGAACCAAAUCCCAAACCAAUCUAGGUUUGUAAUCUGACCAGAUAAAGAAGCGUCUUGGUAAGACCUAGGUUACCUGGUUGAUUCGGCUGAUGAACCGGUAUUACCAACCGGUAUUACCCUGCCAGUCCAACCAGUCAACAAGAGCAAAAUAUUUUUCACUUUUGUCAAGGGAAAUUGAACCCAAGAGAUUAUAAAAAUUCUUUGAAGUCAACCAAUUGAGCCAACGUAGUUGCAUUUUUUUUUAUUUCAAUAUAUA